rnacentral:rRNA from 1 species
AUUGCCCUCUGGCGGCAGGCCUAACACAUGCAAGUCGAGCGGAUGAAGGGAGCUUGCUCCUGGAUUCAGCGGCGGACGGGUGAGUAAUGCCUAGGAAUCUGCCUGGUAGUGGGGGAUAACGUCCGGAAACGGGCGCUAAUACCGCAUACGUCCUGAGGGAGAAAGUGGGGGAUCUUCGGACCUCACGCUAUCAGAUGAGCCUAGGUCGGAUUAGCUAGUUGGUGGGGUAAAGGCCUACCAAGGCGACGAUCCGUAACUGGUCUGAGAGGAUGAUCAGUCACACUGGAACUGAGACACGGUCCAGACUCCUACGGGAGGCAGCAGUGGGGAAUAGUGGACAAUGGGCGAAAGACUGAUCCAGCCAUGCCGCGUGUGAAGAAGGUCUUCGGAUUGUAAAGCACUUUAAGUUGGGAGGAAGGGCAGUAAGUUAAUACCUUGCUGUUUUGACGUUACCAACAGAAUAAGCACCGGCUAACUUCGUG